CCUACGGGGGGCUGCAGUGGGGAAUAUUGGACAAUGGGGGCAACCCUGAUCCAGCCAUGCCGCGUGUGUGAAGAAGGCCCUCGGGUUGUAAAGCACUUUCAGUGAGGAAGAACGCCUGGUGGUUAAUACCCAUCAGGAAAGACAUCACUCACAGAAGAAGCACCGGCUAACUCCGUGCCAGCAGCCGCGGUAAUACGGAGGGUGCGAGCGUUAAUCGGAAUUACUGGGCGUAAAGCGCGCGUAGGUGGCUUGAUAAGCCGGUUGUGAAAGCCCCGGGCUCAACCUGGGAACGGCAUCCGGAACUGUCAAGCUAGAGUGCAGGAGAGGAAGGUAGAAUUCCCGGUGUAGCGGUGAAAUGCGUAGAGAUCGGGAGGAAUACCAGUGGCGAAGGCGGCCUUCUGGACUGACACUGACACUGAGGUGCGAAAGCGUGGGUAGCAAACAGGAUUAGAUAUCCCAGUAGUC
rnacentral:rRNA from 1 species